CGGAACGGGUGAGUAAUAUAUCGGAACGUAUCCAAUAAUGGGGGAUAACGAGUCGAAAGAUUCGCUAAUACCGCAUACGCCCUACGGGGGAAAGCAGGGGAUCUUCGGACCUUGCGUUAAUGGAGCGGCCGAUAUCUGAUUAGCUAGUUGGUGGGGUAAAGGCCACCAAGGCUACGAUCAGUAGCUGGUCUGAGAGGACGACCAGCCACACUGGAACUGAGACACGGUCCAG
rnacentral:rRNA from 1 species